rnacentral:rRNA from 1 species
GACGAACGCUGGCGGCGUGCUUAACACUUGCAAGUCGAACGGUAAGGCCCCUUCGGGGGUACACGAGUGGCGAACGGGUGCGUAACACGUGAGCAACCUGCCCUUGACUCUGGAAUAACAGUUGGAAACAGCUGCUAAUACUGGAUAUUCAUCGUCUCCUUCCUGGGGGGUGGUGGAAAGCUCCGGCGGUCAGGGAUGGGCUCGCGGCCUAUCAGCUUGUUGGUGAGGUAAUGGCUCACCAAGGCUUCGACGGGUAGCCGGCCUGAGAGGGCGACCGGCCACACUGGGACUGAGAUACGGCCCAGACUCCUACGGGAGGCAGCAGUGGGGAAUAUUGCAAAAUGGGCGCAAGCCUGAUGCAGCAACGCCGCGUGCGGGAUGACGGCCUUCGGGUUGUAAACCGCUUUCAGUAGGGACGAAGGGUGAAUGACGGUACCUACAGAAGAAGGACCGGCUAACUACGUG